rnacentral:rRNA from 1 species
UGUUGUUAGGGAAGAACAAGUACGAGAGUAACUGCUCGUACCUUGACGGUACCUAACCAGAAAGCCACGGCUAACUACGUGCCAGCAGCCGCCGAGGUAAUACGUAGGUGGCAAGCGUUGUCCGGAAUUAUUGGGCGUAAAGCGCGCGCAGGCGGUCCUUUAAGUCUGAUGUGAAAGCCCACGGCUCAACCGUGGAGGGUCAUUGGAAACUGGGGGACUUGAGUACAGAAGAGAAGAGUGGAAUUCCAUGUGUAGCGGUGAAAUGCGUAGAGAUGUGGAGGAACACCAGUGGCGAAGGCGACUCUUUGGUCUGUAGAGACGCUGAGGCGCGAAAGCGUGGGGAGCAAACAGGAUUAGAUACCCUGGUAGUCCACGCUGUAAACGAUGAGUGCUAAGUGUUAGAGGGUUUCCGCCCUUUAGUGCUGCAGCUAACGCAUUAAGCACUCCGCCUGGGGAGUACGGCCGCAAGGCUGAAACUCAAAGGAAUUGACGGGACCCGCAC